rnacentral:rRNA from 1 species
UACGGGGGGGGCAAGCGUUGUUCGGAAUUACUGGGCGUAAAGGGCGCGUAGGCGGGAUGGCAAGUCGGUCGUGAAAUCCUUCGGCCCAACCGAAGAACGUCGGCCGAUACUGCCGUUCUUGAGGGAUGCAGAGGAGACUGGAAUUCCCGGUGUAGCGGUGAAAUGUGUAGAGAUCGGGAGGAACACCGGUGGCGAAGGCGGGUCUCUGGGCAUUUCCUGACGCUGAGGCGCGAAAGCGUGGGGAGCAAACGGG